AAAAAUUCGUUGUCUCGAGCAGGAUUCGAACUUGCAUCUUCGGGUUUCUAGACCGCCAAGACAAGCGUCAAGUCGUCACGAAAAUAUUUCGUGUAACAAUCCCAUAGGUGCGAGUUCGAAUCUCGCUUGAGACAACGAAUUUUU
rnacentral:miRNA from 1 species